AGUGGGGAAUAUUGCACAAUGGGGGAAACCCCGAUGCAGCCAUGCCGCGUGUGUGAAGAAGGCCUUCGGGUUGUAAAGCACUUUCAGUAAGGAGGAAAGGUUAACGAUUAAUACUCGUUAGCUGUGACGUUACUUACAGAAGAAGGACCGGCUAACUCCGUGCCAGCAGCCGCGGUAAUACGGAGGGUCCGAGCGUUAAUCGGAAUUACUGGGCGUAAAGCGUGCGCAGGCGGUUUGUUAAGCCAGAUGUGAAAUCCCCGGGCUCAACCUGGGAAUUGCAUUUGGAACUGGCGAACUAGAGUCUUGUAGAGGGGGGUAGAAUUCCAGGUGUAGCGGUGAAAUGCGUAGAGAUCUGGAGGAAUACCGGUGGCGAAGGCGGCCCCCUGGACAAAGACUGACGCUCAUGCACGAAAGCGUGGGGAGCAAACAGGAUUAGAUACCCUGGUAGUCCACGCCGUAAACGAUGUCUACUCGGAGUUUGGUGUCUUGAACACUGGGCUCUCAAGCUAACGCAUUAAGUAGACCGCCUGGGGAGUACGGCCGCAAGGUUA
rnacentral:rRNA from 1 species